rnacentral:pre_miRNA from 1 species
CAUGUAUUCUCUCCGUCCGAAAAUACUUGUCAAAGAAAUGGAUAAAAAUGGAUGUAUCUCGAACUAAAAUAUGUCUAGAUACAUCCAUUUCUCCGACAAGUAUUUCUGGACGGAGGAAGUAGCUG